rnacentral:lncRNA from 1 species
UUUUUUCUUUUUAUGAUUUUUACAUUGUACAUUUAAUAUUGAAGACAUCAAGACAUAAAGAUGUGAAGAUUUUUUUUUCUACACAAAAAGUGUCAAAUAACCAGAAUACGUUUUACACUUUAGAUUCUUCUAAAUACCACAUUUGAGGACAGAUCUUCACGCUCUUGGUAUUUUAAUCUUAGUGUUCAUGAGGAAGAGUCACCUGGAAUAGCUUUCCCAGUGUCUUGAAGGAGUUCCUGGAGGUGCUGAACAAAAGUUGCUGCUUUUCCUUCACACUGUGAAGCUCCAGCUCAUCCCAAAUCACCCUCUCAGUUGAUCAGGUUUAGGUCGGGGGAUUGUGGAGGACAAACACUUUUUUACUGUUUACUACAUAAUUCUAUAUGUGUCCUUUAAUUGUUUUAAUGUCUUUGAUAUUAAGCUGCAAUUAAAGAAAUUAAAUAAAAUAAAGAAAUAAAGUAAAACAUUGAAUGAGAAGGUGUGUCCAGGCUAAAUGGUUGAGUGAAUUAACAGCUGAAUAACUGAGUACAUGUUUGUUCAGGUGACGUUGUCUUGCUGAGGGAGGAAUGUACUGGUUUGAAAGAGGAGUGCGAGACACUGAAGGAGGCCAACAGCCGACUAAUGGAGAAGCUACAGCUGCUGCAGAGGACACGAAAUAGCUCGGGUAGUGCGUGUCCCUCACUGAAGGAGGAGCAGGAGGAAACUGAAGGGAGCAGCGUGAUGCCGGACUCAAACUGCAGGCUGGUGGAUGCUUGCAUCCAGAAGAAUAUUUCCUUCGAGGGAAAGCCUCUCACUCCCACCAGCUGGAGUGCAGGGUUCUCUGAGAUCCUCUCACUGAGGGAGCAGCUGAAGCAAGCAGAGGAGAGGGCGGAACAGGUACAGAGACAGUGCGAUGGGGUGCGGAUUGAGCUAAGGGAGUUACAGGACCUGUUUGAAACUAGUCAGAAGGAGCGUGCAGAGCUGGAGCUUGAGUUACUUCGCUGCAGGGAGGAGCUGGACAAGCUCUCUGAGGAGAAUGGGACACAGUUCUCCACUGAGCCCCCUGUUCUCUCGCUGCCUUUCAUAGGACUGAUAGUGAUUGUGGCAGUGCUGUGGUGCUGCUGGUCUGAGCUGGCAUCCUGAAGAACGAAAGGCGUGAUCACUAUAUGAUUCUCUGGGUUUUAUCAGAGAAUCAGGCAGAAGAGGCAGAGUGGUUGGUUUCGUCAUGUGUGUUUAUUUUUUGGAGCGUAAUCUGUUGGUCAGUAGUCAGCCUAACGGUCAGCGAAGAUCCAUUUAUCUACCUGGCUUCAGUCCUACCUAGGGUUUCUGUGUCUCUGGAAAGGACAGGAUACCCUGACCGGCCAGCAGAGCAGGAUAUAGAGCGGCAGCUUUAGCAGAGAAGCUAACGGAGACACUGACCUGAACUCUUUGUGAGGGUUUUUACUCUUUUUGUAAAUAUGCUCUGAUCUUGUUUUAUCUUUGACUAUUAUUGCCUGUAACUCACUCCAUUAUUUGUAAAGAUCUAUUAAUUUAUUCAAAUAUUUAACAUAAAUAUUGUUGUGUUGUAUAAUUUUUUUCUUUCUGUGCGGUUCUACCUUUUUAUUAUUUAUUAUAGAGAGAAAAAUGGGUAAGGAAGGUAUCGAAUGCAAUAACAAUACAAAUCAGCAGCUGAAUUUUUCUUUCAAUUUAUUAGCGCAUAGUGAAGUGAAAGACAUGGAUAAAGAGUGCACACACACAUACACACACACACACACAUAUACAAUUUUAUACACACACACACACACAUAAUUUAGUUAAUAUAUACAAAUGCUUACACACAGCUUGUCAAUAGAAUAGAACUCUCACAGAAAGCGUAGAGCUGUGGAGUUGGGGAGUUGUGGUGCGAUGGUUAACAUCCAACAUCCUGUUCUUUUCCGCAACAUUCUCCAAAAUCCAAUAGAACGCCUUUUAUUAACAACAGAGAUAUAUACUCCAACAAAAGCAGGAUAAAAUGUAUCUUUAAACAUCGAUUUCAGAAACAAUGAAUAAGAAAGUGUCCCAAUACUUUGUCCAUAUAGAGUAUGUUAUAUUCUCAUCUAUAUUUUAUUGCUCAGAUAAAACUCUGUGAUCUCAUGAGAUUUGUGAUCUCACUUUUGUUUCAUUUAGAGAUCAGCUUGGUCACUGAUGUUUCUCCUAAAAUGACUCAUCGCUUAAAGUCUCGUUGUCCUUUAGGAGAAACUUGAUAAUGAAGACAUCUUUUUCUUUAUGUUUCUUUCUUCUGGUACUGUGAUGUUUCUUCUGAUAAGCCGAUAUUGUCCAAGCCCAGUAUAUGCCCAAAAAAACCUCUGUCCUGUAGGGUUUAGGUAAUUCGGAACUGGGUUUUAUAGUGGAAACAGGUUAGAUUAAUAAAAGCACUUUACUGAAGUGAAAGACUGAUGAU